rnacentral:tmRNA from 1 species
GCCCUUUUCAUUUGGACCCGUAAUGCCUAUAUCACUCAUGUCCGUUUCGGCGGACUAUGGCGAUAAAUUGCUGCGUGCAAUAGGUACAACGGACCCGGGGGCAGUACCCGGCGGCUCCACCACUUCUCCCGGUUUCGCGGGUGAAAUGACGGGGCCGAACCAGGAUCGACGUGGACUGAAAAGCGUAGUUUUUGCCCGGGCUGAGUAACCCGUAAAACUGUUCAAUUUCAUAAGUGCUAACGAUAACGACGCACUCGCAAUCGCUGCGUAAUUUUAGGGCCUAGCGGCCCGAAUUUACAAAGCUAAGCGCGGUUGGACCGACCGGGCAACAGAACGGAUUCCGGGGCUCCGGGGGUAGCUAGCAACAGAAACCCCCACU